rnacentral:lncRNA from 1 species
AUAGAGACGGAGAGGCGGUAGUGGCCGGAGCGCCCACGGGCUUUUGGCUCCGUAGGCGCAGGUAGAGUUGGCGGCGAUUGGGCUGCGUCUGCAGAGACCAAGCUGGAGGGGCAAGCGCAGGCCGCGGAGCAGGUCUCAGGAAGAGGCCCCUUCUCCUUCCCUCAUGGAGGGAUUGGCUACAAUGUCUGAAUCUUUGGAAAAGAAAGCCCCCUUCUCAAGGUGAAAGGAGUGUUGGGAACUUCUGAGGGCCUGAUCAUUAUUGGGAUUGAACUCGGGACCUUGCACUUGGGACGCAGGUGGCAGCACCACUGAGCUAAAUCCCCAGCCCAGUUUGUAUUCUUUCAAAAAAAUUUUUAUGUGCAUAUAUAUUUUAUCAAGAGCCCCGAUGUUUACUUGUUUAUUUACCAAGGCACUGGGGCCUCACACUUGCUGGGCGAGCAGUCUACCAC